rnacentral:rRNA from 1 species
GACGAACGCUGGCGGCGUGCUUAACACAUGCAAGUCGAACGGAAAGGCCCUUCUUUUGUGGGGUGGUCUAGUUGCGAACGGGUGGGUAACACAUGAGGAGCCUGCCCUGGACUUUUGGAUAACUUCAGGACAUGGAAGCUAGGCCCAGAUAGGAGCUUCUGCGUCAGUGUGGUGGUUGGACAGUUUCGGCUGUUGGGGCUGUGCGUGCGGCUUAUCAGGUCGUUGGGGGGGUUGUGGGUUACCAAGGCUUUGACGGGUAGCCGGCCUGAGAGGGUUAGCGGCCACGUUGGGACUGCGAUGCGGGGCAGAAUCGUGGGGGAGGGAGCAGUGGGGAAUAGUGUACAGUGGGCGGAAGGCUGAUGCAGUAACGCCGCGUGGGGGAUGAAGGCCUUCGGGUUGUAAACCGCUUUCGCCUGUGACGAAGGGUGAGUGACGGUAAUGGGUAAAGAAGCACCGGCUAACUACGUG